rnacentral:tRNA from 1 species
GCUGGCGUAGCUCAAUUGGUAGAGCAACUGAUUUGUAAUCAGUAGGUUGCGGGUUCAAGUCCCAUCGCCAGCUCCA